ensembl:lncRNA
CGGGGCCCGGAUGUCAGCGGUAGCGUUGCGCCGGAGGAAGCCUGUCGAGAAGGCAGUUCUUUAUUUAUAGAAGGUUCCUCCUGGCCUUCGUUUGACUGGUCUCAGAAGUGACUUUCUGUUCCUGCUUCAAUAUUCUUUCUUUUUAAUAUACACCACCGGAACAGAGCACAGUGUUCUUGACAGUAUCAUGCCAGACACAAGGACAGUGGUAUUAAUCCAUUCUAAACUAUGUUAGGAAUAUUGCUCCCAAGACCUCUUAUGGCCUUGUUUUCCAUGUCAUGUUGGCAGCUCUUCUGGGGUCAGCUACUGUGUGCAGUGAGACUUCCCUCUCUCACUUCUCUCCCAAACUUCAAAGAGGUUGGUCAGGCAGAGGAUUUCUUUCAAGGGUUCAUGCUGCAGCUGUCGAAUAGCAGUGAGAAAAUGUAGGUUUCAAGUUUUUAUUACUUGUGUGUGUGUUUGCGUUUAUCCUUAAUUGCAACAAAACAGAUGUCAUUUCUUAA